rnacentral:rRNA from 1 species
CACGGCGAGCGAGGCAGGGGCCAGAGGCCUACGGGAGGCAGCAGUGGGGAAUAUUGCACAAUGGGCGCAAGCCUGAUGCAGCCAUGCCGCGUGUAUGAAGAAGGCCCUAGGGUUGUAAAGUACUUUCAGUCGGGAGGAAGACAUUGAUGUUAAUACCAUCAAAGAUUGACGUUACCGACAGAAAUAGCACCUGAUUCCUC